rnacentral:rRNA from 1 species
UAGGGAAUCUUCCGCAAUGGGCGAAAGCCUGACGGAGCAACGCCGCGUGAGUGAUGAAGGUCUUCGGAUCGUAAAACUCUGUUAUUAGGGAAGAACAAAUGUGUAAGUAACUAUGCACGUCUUGACGGUACCUAAUCAGAAAGCCACGGCUAACUACGUGCCAGCAGCCGCGGUAAUACGUAGGUAGCAAGCGUUAUCCGGAAUUAUUGGGCGUAAAGCGCGCGUAGGCGGUUUUUUAAGUCUGAUGUGAAAGCCCACGGCUCAACCGUGGAGUGUCAUUGGAAACUGGAAGACUUGAGUGCGGGAGAGGAAAGUGGAAUUCCAUGUGUAGCGGUGAAGUGCGCAGAGAUAUGGAGGAACACCAGUGGCGAAGGCGGCUUUCUGGUCUGUAACUGACGCUGAUGUGCGAAAGCGUGGGGAUCAAACAGG